rnacentral:lncRNA from 1 species
CCCCUCCCCCCUUGCCUUUCUUUGCCCUAGUGACGCCGGUAUAGCGCCGACUAGGCCCCGGCUCCUCCUCUGCUGGGCUCCGGACCCUGCCCCGCACCCACCCCUUUCUCCUACGCCUCUUCCUCUCCCACCCGGGUCUCUUCCUUUCUAGAGGCCGGGAAGUUAAACUUGUAGCCACCACCUCCGCUCUUCCCGUCACCCUCGCCCCCACUUCGGGCCGAAAGCACGGUACAGAGGCUGUUGGUGGCUUUGCCACGCCACCCCACCCACCCCGGAUCGCGGCUGUCUUAAGGGACCUGGAUUCAUCAGGGGCUCUUCGGGGCCUGUGCGAGUGCUGAUCUGCUCCGUUUUUGCAAAAGGCGCCUGUGUCUGGCAGAGCUGGUGUGAGACGAGACAAUCCUGCCCCGCCGCCGGGAUAAUCAAGAGUUUUGGCCGGACCUUUGAGCAUACACCGAGAGAGUGAGGAGCCAGACGACAAGCACACACUAUGGCGCUGAAACGGAUUAAUAAGGAACUUAGUGAUUUGGCCCGUGACCCUCCAGCACAAUGUUCUGCAGGUCCAGUUGGGGAUGAUAAGUUUUUUUUCUUUUUCUAGUGUUUCAUUGGCAAGCCACAAUUAUGGGACCUAAUGACAGCCCAUAUCAAGGCGGUGUAUUCUUUUUGACAAUUCA